GGUUGUGGCUCAGUGGUAGAGCACUUGCCUAGCAUGAUUAAGGCCCUGGGUUCAAUCCUCAGCACCA
rnacentral:tRNA from 1 species